AGAUUGGAGAAAGAAGAUCUAAGAGGGACCUAUGGAGAAUGUAGUCAGAAAUCCAUAAUAGAGUUCGACCACAACGACCGAAUUAAUUAUCCUCAUUGA
rnacentral:rRNA from 1 species